GAUGAAGAACGUAGCGAAAUGCGAUACUUGGUGUGAAUUGCAGAAUCCCGUGAACCAUCGAGUCUUUGAACGCAAGUUGCGCCCGAAGCCAUUAGGCCGAGGGCACGCCUGCCUGGGCGUCACACGUCGUUGCCCCCCCCAUCUACUCCUUCGGGAUUGCGGGGGGCGGAUGAUGGCCUCCCGUGCGCCUCGCCGCGCGGUUGGCAUAAAUGCCAAGUCCUCGGCGAUGCACGCCACGACAAUCGGUGGUUGCGAAACCUCGGUUGCCCGUCGUGUGCGGUCGUCGCGCAUCGAGGGCUCGAAAAAAUUGCCGGGUUCCGGCUCGGCUUUCAACGCGACCCCAGGUCAGGCGGGGUUACCCGCUGAAUUUAAGCAUAUCAAUAACGGAGGA
rnacentral:misc_RNA from 1 species